ensembl:snoRNA U8 U8 small nucleolar RNA
UCAUCAGGUGGCAUAAUCCUUACCUGUUCCUCCUUUGGAAGACAGAUAAAACAUGAUGAUUGAAGAUGCAUGAAAUGUUUCAAAUUUAAUUAUUAAAAAAAAAAAAAAAGACUCAGUUCCUCCUGUAGCUGAA